rnacentral:rRNA from 1 species
UACGGAGGGUGCAAGCGUUAUCCGGAUUCACUGGGUUUAAAGGGAGCGUAGGUGGCUUUGUAAGUCAGUGGUGAAAUCUUAGAGCUUAACUCUAAAACUGCCAUUGAUACUGCUUAGCUUGAAUCACGUCGAGGUGGAUGGAAUAUUACAUGUAGCGGUGAAAUGCUUAGAUAUGUAAUAGAACACCGAUUGCGAAGGCAGUUCACUAGGCGUGUAUUGACACUGAGGCUCGAAAGCGUGGGGAGCGAACAGG